GUGGGGAAUCUUGCGCAAUGGGCGAAAGCCUGACGCAGCCAUGCCGCGUGGAUGAUGAAGGUCUUAGGAUUGUAAAAUCCUUUCAGCGGGGACGAUAAUGACGGUACCCGCAGAAGAAGCCCCGGCUAACUUCGUGCCAGCAGCCGCGGUAAUACGAAGGGGGCUAGCGUUGCUCGGAAUUACUGGGCGUAAAGGGAGCGUAGGCGGAUCGUUUAGUUGGGGGUGAAAUCCCGGGGCUCAACCUCGGAACUGCCUUCAAUACUGGCGAUCUUGAGUAUGGGAGAGGUGUGUGGAACUCCGAGUGUAGAGGUGAAAUUCGUAGAUAUUCGGAAGAACACCAGUGGCGAAGGCGGCUCACUGGCUCAUUCUAGACGCUGAGGUGCGAAAGCGUGGGGAGCAAACAGG
rnacentral:rRNA from 1 species